UGAGACCAAGAAACAGAGGAAGAAGUCCCUGUGUGGUCACCUCAGAGCUUGUUUUGGCCACCAUAGAGCAGCUUCUCCUGACCUCCCAAGAAAGAAGCCCUCGGUGAUGUCAAGGAUGUUGAUGGAUGGGGAUCUGGAGCCCUCACUGGACUACACAAUGCAUGUGCAUGUAGAGGGGUUGAAUGCAUUUGCAGUGAGGCCCCAAAAGGUUGUGAGUCCUGUGGAUAAGACAGUGGUUCUGAAGCCCACAUGUAACAGAGCUGAACUUGUAGGGACCCCAAAGAAAGAAGAAGGUAAUAGUGAUUGUCUUCCUGUGACUUUCACAGGCAGCCCAGAUCAGCUCAAAAAGGGUCAAAUCAGCACGCCUCCUGGCGUGCUGGAGGGAGUAGCACACGUGGGGCUGAUGGAAAAUGUCCCCAGUCUGUGCUCAGGGGAACCAAUGAGUGAGGUCCCAACAUUAGAUGCAGCUCAGGAAAGUGAAUCUGUCCUCACUGAACAUCUGGACAAAUCUGUCCUGCUGCAGCAGAACCAAUCUCCAACUGAGAAAUUAGAAUCUGCCUCUCCAGCCUUUGCUGGAGCAAAUCCUCUCUUUCAUGAGGAGCUAGAUACUUUGGAGGAUUCUGAGGCAGAAUUUAUGUUUGAAGGCAACUUAGAAGCCGACCUAGCCUUAGAGCUUCCCUCCCCUCUCCCUGGGGAUAUCUCUCUUUUUCUUUUUGUCCUGAUUGUUGUAAAAUUUGCAUUCUUUUUAUUCUUCUAAAUUUAUUAAAGAUAUAUGUUUAUGUUGUAAAAUUUA